AGAACUCUGCGCUAGAC
rnacentral:misc_RNA from 1 species